rnacentral:lncRNA from 1 species
CAGGGGAAGGGCUGGGCUCUAAAGGGCUGUGGAGCCCAGUGGAGAGAGGCAGAGGGGAGGGGGCUUGCGGGGGGGGGGCGUGUCUCUGGUCUCUAACCUCCCCCCCUGUCCCAUGCAGGGUUCGCCUGCUCCUUCGGCCAGCAGCUCCCUAAUGGGUGGUGCCGUGAGUGAAUCAAGUCUGUCAUGUUCAUCUGGAGGGCAUUCACAUGCCGAAGAAGCCCCCCCAGCCUGAUGCAGGGUGACGCCAGCGAGCUGGAUUUUGGGGCGGUGCAGCGGGGGGACCCCAAGAUGGAGCAGAAGAUGAACCAGGUGUUGCAGGGCUGAGUGGGGAUAUCAGCCCCAUCUGCAGCUUUCAUGACCAGGGGGCUGAGGGCAACGGUUUGCAACAUGGUUGGCAGAGUGACCACUCUGAAGCUUCAGGAGGGAACAAAGCCAAAGGACUAGGAGGGUGGGGGUUAGCUGAAGAGCCCCUCGCCCUUGCUAAACAGGUAGCUGAACAAGGUCCGUGCUCAUGGAGACAAGAUUCUUUCCAGGGGAGAGACGUCCUUGAGUCUGUUUGUAAGGGAUUUGACUCAUUCUGUAAGUGCGUGAAACCAAAGGAAAAGCUAUCGAAGUAGCAGCUGCCACAAAGACAUUGUGGAAAGCUGUCGCUGAUCGCUCCAGCCUGGUAGCACUCCGGGAAACACAACUGGAAGAUUACAAAUUGCAGUUGGAUACAGUUAAGGAUAAUUUGGCUCAGUAGAAGGCAUCACAGGCAAAACCAGGAGAGCGUCAGCAACUGAAAGUAGAAAACCCGGGGAAGUAUCUACAUUGCAAUCGAAGCUGGGGGAUGCUCAGGCGGCUGUCAGAACGGUGUUUCAAGAAAAUAACGAGGGGGCCCGGACAAAUAGUGACCACGCAGUCUGCAGGCAGCGGACAGUAGCAGCAGUAAGAGGAGAAGUAAGUGCGAGCACCAGGGAUACAGACACCUGGAAUGAUACUUGGAACGGGGAUAUUUGAAUUGAUCCCGAACAGAGAGAUCUUGGAUGGUCAUAUCCUUCUGAUCUACUUUUCCUGAAGGGCCCUAUGGCCCUGUGCAAAGGGAAUUGCAGGAUUUUAAAUUAGAGGCUGUGAUGUUGUGCAGUCUAUAUGGUUUUAUAAAAAUAUGGUAAGUGAAUAUAACGUAACUGGGAUAUGCUUCAUGCAAAAGGUCUCUUGUAAGGUAUCAUUACAAAGCUCAUAAUCUAAUGAGUGUGAUUAUCCUGUUUGUAGAAAUGUACCACUCUUGUAUCUAAAACUAGAAAUAUAAAACAUAACUCUGAGGGCCUAUUGUAAUUAUGUAAAGUGUGGGCCAUUAAGGAUGGUUUGGAAUCUUGAUGACUCCCAUUGUCUGCAGAUGUCUGUAUUUACCUGUGAGUCUUCCUGUAUGUGUGUGUGCUGGCAUGUGAUCAUGUCACCUGAACUAGAAUCCAUCUUUAACCUGGUGCUUUUCCAGUGAGGGGGGGUGGAAGCCAGAGGGACAAAGGGUUCCCGCCUUAUGCAAAAGAUAUAUAAAGGGGUGGAAGAGAACAAGGGGGAGNNNNNNNNNNNNNNNNNNNNUUCUCUGUAUUUAAUAAAAUCACUUUUUAUUUAGUAAUUUACUCA